rnacentral:rRNA from 1 species
AUUGAACGCUGGCGGCAGGCCUAACACAUGCAAGUCGAACGAGUGGCGGACGGGUGAGUAAUGUCUGGGAAACUGCCCGAUGGAGGGGGAUAACUACUGGAAACUGUAGCUAAUACCGCAUACCAUCGGAUGUGCCCAGAUGGGAUGAGCUAGUAGGUGGGGUAACGGCUCACCUAGGCGACGAUCCCGAGCUGGUCUGAGAGGAGGACCAGCCAAACUGGAACUGAGACACGGUCCAGACUCCUACGGGAGGCAGCAGUGGGGAAUAUUGCACAAUGGGAGCAAGCCUGAUGCAGCCAUGCCGCGUGUAUGAAGAAGGCCUUCGGGUUGUAAAGUACUUUCAGCGGGGAGGCGUUACCCGCAGAAGAAGCACCGGCUAACUCCGUGCCAGCAGCCGCGGUAAUAC